AGUGAACGCUGGCGGUAGGCCUAGCACUUGCAAGUCGAACGGCAGCACAGUAAGAGCUUGCUCUUACGGGUGGCGAGUGGCGGACGGGUGAGGAAUACAUCGGAAUCUACUUUUUCGUGGGGGAUAACGUAGGGAAACUUACGCUAAUACCGCAUACGACCUACGGGUGAAAGCAGGGGAUCUUCGGACCUUGCGCGAUUGAAUGAGCCGAUGUCGGAUUAGCUAGUUGGCGGGGUAAAGGCCCACCAAGGCGACGAUCCGUAGCUGGUCUGAGAGGAUGAUCAGCCACACUGGAACUGAGACACGGUCCAGACUCCUACGGGAGGCAGCAGUGGGGAAUAUUGGACAAUGGGCGCAAGCCUGAUCCAGCCAUACCGCGUGGGUGAAGAAGGCCUUCGGGUUGUAAAGCCCUUUUGUUGGGAAAGAAAAGCAGCAGGUUAAUACCCCGCUGUUCUGACGGUACCCAAAGAAUAAGCACCGGCUAACUUCGUG
rnacentral:rRNA from 1 species